rnacentral:tRNA from 2 species
UCCUUGGUGGUCUAGUGGUUAGGAUUUGGUGCUUUCACUGCUGGGGUCCAGGUUCAAUCCCUGGUCAGGGAA